UACGAAGGGUGCUAGCGUUGUUCGGAAUUACUGGGCGUAAAGCGCGCGUAGGCGGCGAUACAAGUCAGAGGUGAAAGCCUGGAGCUUAACUCCAGAAUUGCCUUUGAAACUGCAUUGCUAGAGUGUCGGAGGGGAUAGCGGAAUUCCUAAUGUAGAGGUGAAAUUCGUAGAUAUCAGGAGGAACACCGGUGGUGUAAACGGCUUUCUGGACCAUAACUGACGCUGAGGCACGAAAGCGUG
rnacentral:rRNA from 1 species